rnacentral:rRNA from 1 species
UGGGGAAUAUUGGGCAAUGGGCGCAAGCCUGACCCAGCAACGCCGCGUGAAGGAAGAAGGCUUUCGGGUUGUAAACUUCUUUGACAGGGAAGAGUAGAAGACGGUACCUGUCGAAUAAGCCACGGCUAACUACGUGCC